rnacentral:sRNA from 2 species
CUAAAUGAAGAGCUGAAUCCAGGACAGCCUGGAGCGGGGGAACUUCUUUUUCUGGGGUGAAUCGCAUUUUGCGUAGGGCCUAUACCUUUGGUCCGAAUCCGUCAACUAACCUCGUAAGCUAAGAAAGGUGAAAAU